GCGAGGCAACCCUCGUCUUGACAGCGCAGGCGCUAGGGUGAGGCCGACCUCGCGCAGUGACGCUGGCGCGCUCCCUGCGAGGCGGGGCUGCCCUAGGAGGUCGAGGCGCGAGAAAAAUGAAGCAGGAGGGCGCAGCAAGUCCUUAAAGGCGCCGCGGUGUAAAAGGGGCAGGACGUCUGGGUCGACAACUCGCUAGGAAACUCUGACCCAGAGAGAGGUUUGAGCCUGGACAGCACGGCACGUCCGCCAGGAGGCUCGCGGCCCUGCCCCUGAAAGGAUUUUCUUUAGCCAGCAUUGCCGGAAUUCUUGGCUUCCUCCCAGUGCCGAUGAAAACGAGCAUGGAAGAAUUUCCAGUGUUGCUGACAACCGGACAAAACUACGGCUGAGAAUCGGAUGAGACUUCGGAGCUGUUGCUGUUUCUGCUGCUACAGCUUAGGCUAGCUGCCUGCAGAACUUACCUGAACUGUGAUUUACCUGAACUGUGAGUUAAUCUAUUGAGACACUGCUUUACCUGGACUGAGACAACAAACUGUAAUCUACAACAAAUUGUAACUUGGUAUAUUUGCUAACGGUGUCAUUGCUUGUAUGAUUUUUCCAAGGGCUUCUUGCAUAGAGCCAUCAAUUGGCUUGGUAUUGUGGCAUUUUGUUUCCUCCCCUUCUGCUUGUAGCAGAUUAUUUAUGGUGUUUGUGUAAAAACCACUAUGGUCGUUAUUUAAAUUAAACAAAAGGGGGAAAUGUUAAGAGUCUAUAAACAAGUCUGGAUGGCGCCUGGCAUUUUGCCAGAGGGAGUGGUUUGUGAAGUAAUUCCAGGGAGCCAUUAAGUGUGGAGAUUCCUUGUUGGUUGACUGCUGUAUCAAGUUUAUGUUAAUUAAGAUAAGCUGUGUGGAAUGUAUCCCUCCUGUCCUACAAUAAAUGGCUCCUACUCCUGCUGUA